rnacentral:rRNA from 1 species
UUAAAUUGAAGAGUUUGAUCAUGGCUCAGAUUGAACGCUGGCGGCAGGCCUAACACAUGCAAGUCGAACGGUAACAGGAAGCAGCUUGCUGCUUCGCUGACGAGUGGCGGACGGGUGAGUAAUGUCUGGGAAACUGCCUGAUGGAGGGGGAUAACUACUGGAAACGGUAGCUAAUACCGCAUAACGUCGCAAGACCAAAGAGGGGGACCUUCGGGCCUCUUGCCAUCGGAUGUGCCCAGAUGGGAUUAGCUAGUAGGUGGGGUAACGGCUCACCUAG